rnacentral:tRNA from 1 species
GGUACUGUACUUUAUAUAGAAGAUCUGGUUUGCAUCUAGAAAGAAGACAAAUUAUCUCAGAACCA